GCGGUGGAUGAUGUGGUUUAAUUCGAUGCAACGCGAAAACCUUAACCCACCUUUGACAUGGCAGGAAUCCUGAAGAGAUUUGGGAGUGCUCGAAAGAGAACCUGCACACAGGUGCUGCAUGGCUGUCGUCAGCUCGUGUCGUGAGAUGUUGGGUUAAGUCCCGCAACGAGCGCAACCCUUGCCAUUAGUUGCUACGAAAGGGCACUCUAAUGGGACUGCCGGUGACAAACCGGAGGAAGGUGGGGAGUGACGUCAAGUCCUCAUGGCCCUUAUAGGUGGGGCUACACACGUCAUACAAUGGCCGGUACAGAGGGUAGCCAACCCGCGAGGGGGAGCCAAUCCCACAAAGCCGGUCGUAGUCCGGAUCGCAGUCUGCAACUCGACUGCGUGAAGUCGGAAUCGCUAGUAAUCGCGGAUCAGCAUGUCGCGGUGAAUACGUUCCCGGGUCUU
rnacentral:rRNA from 1 species